CCUACGGGAGGCAGCAGUGAGGAAUAUUGGUCAAUGGGCGAGAGCCUGAACCAGCCAAGUCGCGUGAAGGAUGACUGCCCUACGGGUUGUAAACUUCUUUUGUCAGGGAGCAAUUGGGUCCACGCGUGGGCUUAGCGAGAGUACCUGAAGAAAAAGCAUCGGCUAACUCCGUGCCAGCAGCCGCGGUAAUACGGAGGAUGCGAGCGUUAUCCGGAUUUAUUGGGUUUAAAGGGUGCGUAGGCGGAAUAUCAAGUCAGCGGUAAAAAUUCGGGGCUCAACCCCGUCGUGCCGUUGAAACUGAUGUUCUGGAGUGGGCGAGAAGUAUGAGGAAUGCGUGGUGUAGCGGUGAAAUGCAUAGAUAUCACGCAGAACUCCGAUUGCGAAGGCAGCAUACCGGCGCCCAACUGACGCUGAAGCACGAAAGCGUGGGUAUCGAACAGGAUUAGAUACCCUGGUAGUC
rnacentral:rRNA from 1 species